AAUGGGAUUUUUUCACAGUCCUAGUCCAAGUAGGACUCUUCCCCAAAGUCACAAUCUAAUUGGACUCUUCAGCCAUCAGAUUUGAUCAAAUCAUCUAAUGUGUAUGGCUCCAUAGGUUUAAACCUAUGUCGGUCGUAUAGGAACAACUUUCUAUAUCAAUCGAUGUAACCAUCUAGCAAUGAUGACCCAACGAUCGGAUAGAUCGAAAUGUUGCAAAGCAACCUUCUAGAACCUACUGACGUAUGGUUACCGUAUAAUUCAUCUCUUUGAUCCAAAUGCUCAAGGUGACAUAUGAUUUAACUAU
rnacentral:lncRNA from 1 species